CAGCCUAGGCGACAGAGUGAGACUCUGUCUCAAAAAAGAAAAAAAAAAAAGAGAGAGAAAGAAUGCUGCCCUGGCUGGGACAGGAUGCCCCUCAGGGGAUGUCCUCUUCCAGAGGACUCUUCCCAACUCCCUAGCCUAGGUUAGGGCCCUGCUUUUGUGUUCCCAUGGGACCUAGGGUAUUUCCCCCUUAUUAUAUAACUUAUUAAAGUCCAUUUUAAUGAUAUAUUUUCUUACUUUUUAGUUUCCAUCUCUCCAUUUGUGAGUUCCUUGAAGGCAGAGAACACUUGGCUUUUCUUCCUGUGCCUCCAGUCCCUAUUGCAAGGACAUGAGAGAUGCCCAUUCGUGUUUGAUGAAUGAAUGAGUGAAUACAUGAAUGAAUGAGUGCCUGAAGAUCAGAGUACAUGGGAUGAGUGUUUGGAGUUCUACAUACUCAGGAAGCCCCAGCUGACAUUUGGAGGAAAAGGAAACACAAAGAUGAGGAAACUGAGGAGCAGAGAGGUUAAGUACACUCCUACCUUGCCCCCCAGGGGACACAACCAGUAAGUGACACCGUGAGGCUUUUAACCCAAGGAGUUUGGUUCCAGAAGUCUGGCUUGCUGCCCUGAAGCCAGCCCUCGCUCUGCUGCAGGUGCUAAUCUAAGGACUUGAUACCUUUUUUAAAGCCCUCCUGAAAGGGAGGUAUGAUUCUCCUCCAUUUUCAGAUGAGAAAGCUGAGGCUCAAAGAUGUUGCCAAAGUUCAGCUAGCUGACAAGCGGCGGAACCAGGAUCUACAAUCACAGCCACGCUUACUGGGUCCUGUGUCUUCCUGAUGCUCACAGCUGAGCUCUAAGCCUGGGUCACCUCCUCUGCCCCUCCCUCCACAGCUCUGGAACCUCGGCCAAGGCCCAGCAGAUGGUGGCUCUCCAUGUGCAUUUCUGACUCAGCCGCCCCCUCUCCACCCGCUGCUUCUCAUCCCAGCUCUGAACCUGUAACCCACCAUAGUGUCUGAGACAGGGACACCACCCUGACCUGGCAUGAGAUUAGGAACAGCUCAGGCCAUCAGCAUCUUUUGGGGGCAAAAAUAGGUGCAGCUAAAAUCUAUUGAUACAUCCCCGAUGGGCAGGAAGGCGACAGCCAGACCUAAGGAAAGGUUGUUCAAGGAUUCAGUGCGUCAGCAUCCCAGCUACCUGAACAGGCUGGUGGGAGGUGUGUUCAGGACGGGAGCGCCAGGCAGGCCCUCUGUCUCAGCUGGGAGGGCAGGAUACUUUUCCUGGCUCUCCUUCACCUCGGCUCUCCUGCUCCCUCCCUCAGGGACUUCCUUUGCACAAUGGCCGGCUGGCUCAGGAUGCCUCUGAAGCCAGGAAAAAGGGCACUUUGACUGGUCAACCCAGCCUCCUUGACAGAGCCCUAGGCCCGAGCUGAUCCCCCGGAGGGUAAUUGGAGCAGCUUUUGAGCACACUAUUUGGUUACUUUCAUCUCAAGAACUUGACACAAAAGACAUCUGGCACAGGCUCAGCUACUCAGUACCCCUUCCUGGGGUGACAUGUCACUGUGACCGUACUGUGCCUCCAUUUCCCCAUGUGUGAAGACAGAAGAUUCACAAGUGUCUAGCACACACAGGCUUGAACAGGGGAGACCCCCAUGUCCCAGAUAAUAGCAGAAAAAAUUUCCUUGUGUGGGCUAAGAGAGGUCGCACGGCUAGGGUGGGGGGCAGGAAAAGCUCAGGUUUCAGGAUCCAGCAGAUUUGGGUUCCAUUUCUGGAUCUGCCUCUUCCUGCCUAUGUGGUCUUGGGCAAAUACUUACCAUAUCUGAGCCCUGGAAAUAAUAACCAUUCCAAUCCUUAAAA